rnacentral:rRNA from 1 species
UUUAAUUCGAAGCAACGCGAAGAACCUUACCAAAUCUUGACAUCCUUUGACAACUCUAGAGAUAGAGCCUUCCCCUUCGGGGGACAAAGUGACAGGUGGUGCAUGGUUGUCGUCAGCUCGUGUCGUGAGAUGUUGGGUUAAGUCCCGCAACGAGCGCAACCCUUAAGCUUAGUUGCCAUCAUUAAGUUGGGCACUCUAAGUUGACUGCCGGUGACAAACCGGAGGAAGGUGGGGAUGACGUCAAAUCAUCAUGCCCCUUAUGAUUUGGGCUACACACGUGCUACAAUGGACAAUACAAAGGGCAGCGAAACCGCGAGGUCAAGCAAAUCCCAUAAAGUUGUUCUCAGUUCGGAUUGUAGUCUGCAACUCGACUACAUGAAGCUGGAAUCGCUAGUAAUCGUAGAUCAGCAUGCUACGGUGAAUACGUUCCCGGGUCUUGUACACACCGCCCGUCACACCACGAGAGUUUGUAACACCCGAAGCCGGUGGAGUAACCUUUUAGGAGCUAGCCGUCGAAAGGUGG